AUGGGAUCCAAGCCGCAUCUGCGACCUACACUACAGCUCACGGCAACAUCAGAUCCUUAACCCACAGAGCGAGGCUAGUCGGGUUCACUAACCACUGAGCCACGAUGGUAACUCUAAAAAGAAACAAAUUUUAAUUCUUGCACCGGGAGGUCUCAAAGCACUGGAACCUAAGACAUGGCCAGAGCGGUUGCCUUUUAUAUUUGAGAGGAAAUGACAGAACAAAGAAAUUGAGGUUUGGGUGCUUCAUUAGCGGGAAAUCGAAGCCAAGUUUGGACUUGGGUAGUGAGUGCGUAAAGAAGUAGCAUGGUUUGACCUGGUGUCUUUUCUAAAAUCGAAGUCUAGCUCCCCAUCCCCCCCGGCCUCCCAGCCACCAGCAGGGUCUCUUUCCUGCUCCCGACCCCCGACCACGCUCUGCUUUUCUCCCACAGCGUCGGCCACGUCCAACAUGCUGUACCAUUUUCCUACACAUUAUUCUCACUCCUUCUUAUGGGUUUCCCUCCAUUAGAGUGUAAGCCCCCUGGAGGCAGGCAUUUUCCCAAUUCCUCUUUCCUCAUUUGGAAUGUGUCAGUAACUGUCUGAAAGCUGCUGCUGUUAGACAACUUUGCAAAGGGAAAGACGGUGGGGGGGGGUUCCCGGGAGCACGGGCCCCUCUUCUCCUGAUGAGAUGAGGGAAAUCCGGCUGCUCCCGACAGAAAUAAUCGCCGCGUCUCCCUUUACCGCCCCAGGGUGCAACAUAAGAUCGUCUUGCUUCUGUGUCCAGACUAUGGCUCCCCGGGCUUGUUCGGAACACUGGAAGAAGGGCCUCUGUCUCUCCCUGCCACGCGGCAGACAGACUCUCAGGAAGACAUCCUGUAUGUGGCCCAUUCUCCGCAGUCGGGACAUCUUGAGCCGUGCGUUGCUCUCUGCUGUACCUUCCAGCCCUGGGGCCUCUGACAUUUACUUUCCUAGUGUGUCCAACGCUCCGAUUUCUUUGAGGAGGUAAAGUCGGUGUCCAGUCUAGAGGAAGGACGACAGGUGUCCUGUCCUUUUCUGUACAGACUCAGAAUAAUAAAAAAGUCAAAGUUACUACUGCUUCUGGUGUA
rnacentral:lncRNA from 1 species